rnacentral:rRNA from 1 species
GACCUCGGAUCGGGCGAGACCACCCGCCGAACUUA